rnacentral:rRNA from 1 species
AAUGAACGCUGGCGGCGUGCCUAACACAUGCAAGUCGGAUGUGCCGCAAGGUGCAUGGCAGACGGGUGAGUAACGCGUGGGGAACCUACCUCUUUGUGGGGAAUAACGUUCCGAAAGGAAUGGUAAUACCGCAUGAGACCGAUGGCUGGGGUGCUGUCGGUGAAACCCGGGGACCGCAAGGCCUGGGGCAAGGAGAGGGUCCUGCGUCUGAUUAGCUAGUUGGCGGGGUAACGUCCCACCAAGGCGUCGAUCAGUAGCCGGCCUGAGAGGGUGAUCGGCCACACUGGAACUGAGACACGGUCCAGACUCCUACGGGAGGCAGCAGUGGGGAAUUUUGCGCAAUGGGCGAAAGCCUGACGCAGCAACGCCGCGUGGGUGAUGAAGGUCUUCGGAUCGUAAAACCCUGUCGUCAGGGACGAAGGUUGUAUGUCUAAUAGAUGUGCAGCUUGACGGUACCUGGAGAGGAAGCCCCGGCUAACUCUGUGCCAGCAGCCGCCGCGGUAA